rnacentral:rRNA from 1 species
AUUGAACGCUGGCGGCAGGCCUAACACAUGCAGGUCGAACGGUAACAGGAAGCAGCUUGCUGCUUCGCUGACGAGUGGCGGACGGGUGAGUAAUGUCUGGGAAACUGCCUGAUGGAGGGGGAUAACUACUGGAAACGGUAGCUAAUACCGCAUAACGUCGCAAGACCAAAGAGGGGGACCUUAGGGCCUCUUGCCAUCGGAUGUGCCCAGAUGGGAUUAGCUAGUAGGUGGGGUAACGGCUCACCUAGGCGACGAUCCCUAGCUGGUCUGAGAGGAUGACCAGCCACACUGGAACUGAGACACGGUCCAGACUCCUACGGGAGGCAGCAGUGGGGAAUAUUGCACAAUGGGCGCAAGCCUGAUGCAGCCAUGCCGCGUGUAUGAAGAAGGCCUUCGGGUUGUAAAGUACCUUCAGCGGGGAGGAAGGGAGUAAAGUUAAUACCUUUGCUCAUUGACGUUACCCGCAGAAGAAGCACCGGCUAACUCCGUG